rnacentral:lncRNA from 1 species
UGGUUAUUGUCAAAUCGGCUGGAGAAAUUGAUAGAUAUUGGGAUUGCUAUAUAGAAGGCACUUUCAAGUCGUCUUGAUGUCACAAGCUGCUUGUAACUCCCCUGAACGUUGGUUCAACCUUCGUUGGUGAUCCCCUAGUGAUGUCUCUGCCUGCUCAGCUAGCAAUCUGCAACCCAACACAGGAUCAAGAGCAAAAGGCAGUCAUCGCCUAACCUCAUCUGAGUGGAGGUGGCCUUGUGUUGGGAAGACUCC